UAAUUAGGUAUACCGUUUUCUUGCUUCCUAUUGCAGACUCAAGAAUCUAUCAUUGGUUUCCCUAUCUUAUGAAGUUGGAUCAACAUUUGGACCUAUUUCAUUAAACAUGCAAUGUUUACGCCAUUGUUAUAUAGAGUAAAAACUAAAAACAUACCGUGAUGGUAAGGUAGUCCUAAUCUUUUUCUACAUUUAGAUAAAUAUGAAUCUAUUUAUAAUGUCAGCAUAUCAUGGCAUCCACAAUUUGCUAUAUUAGUUAACUGUAUUGUUCAGAAUAGUGAAGCCAGAGUAAUCUCUACUGUGUUAUUCAGCUCACCAAAGUACAGGGUUCUCUCUCUAUCAAUAUUACAAUGGACUGGUAUGCUCUUGCGCCAAUUCCAAUCAUCGUCUAAUUGUAUUGUUAAGAAUGGAGAAGCCAUGGCAUGAAGUGCCUAUCAGUCUGCUAAUGGCUUCUGUGAACAGCUUCUUCUCUGUACAUGACAACACUGGCAGUGCUCAAGCAAUCUGUAGCUAGCGGACAGAACUGAGCACGUAAUCCUUCAGAUCACCCUGCUUGAGUGAAUAAAUUUAAUCCUCUAUGUGAUGUAUCAGCUCAGAGAACACAUAAGUAUAAAAGUGUACAACAAGAUCACCAUAUAUUUAUUCAUCCCUCCACUAGCGGAUUUUUAAAAACCUCUUUAAGAGGAAGUAGGUAAUAUUCUAUACCAUUUCUCAGCCUUCUGAGCUACUAAUUAAGGAGUUUUUGUACAACCAUGAUACAUACUAGGGUACAAUUUGGCAUGGCAUUUGCAAGGCCCAAUUUGAACAUAACAUGGCUGUUUCGUUCUAGAGAGCUACCACAUGUGUUCUUCUCUCAUUCCGUACUGAUUUUUUCUCUCCUCUGCAGAUCCGAGGCAAGACACUGUCUAGACCUCAUUGAUCAGAGAGGUCAACUUAAAGAGCUGUCAACAGAAGAACCUUGCAUGUAUUGGCCGCAUCUGGGUAAGCAGAGGCUACUAGACAAAUCAGAGUGUAUACUUGUGGAAUGUGAGAUAACGACGCCAAGAGCUGAAUUUUUACUUCGCCCCAAGUUAGGACUUCUGGGAUGGUGAAAUCUGGAGUUCUGAGCAUAAAUCCCCUACUUCCUGCCAUUGAUUGUAUAUAGAUGCAGACAUAUCACUUGAACUGCUGGGAUUAAAUAUCUUCUUUUACAGAACAUACUUCAAAUUUAUGGGUGAGAAUGGCAAAAAAAAUUUAUUACAUAUUCAGGUGCGAUGCUUCCACAUGACGUAACGACAUUGCACCUCCGGACGAAGGGAAACUAGGCAUAUGCCCAACAUUGGCUCACAGAUUGUGUGGUUGAGAAGACAACAAGCAACUGAAGUUGUUGUCAUGUUGUACAAAUGAGAUCAAUAUGGAAGACAACCCAGAAUACCUGCCUUCUCACCGGAGAAUAAAAGAUUGAGAGAGGAGGAAAGAUGAAGGAAAAUACCAUUUCUCCCACACAUUUUUGGUUUGUGACCUUCUAAAGUAGUUCUAAAACCACAUUUUUAUACAAGUUUGGAUUACAGCCUUGGUUUAAAUAGGUGAGCUUAGGCCAGAGACCAAAUAAUGAGCACAUAUUAGGCAUAAACUUGGGUAUCGAAGCCGCACGGGCCAUCUACGCUGCCUACCUAUCAGAAGGA